GGGCCUCGAGGUGGCUGGGAUGCUGGGCCUCGAGGUGGCUGGGAUGCUGGGCUGGCCCUCCCAUCCAGGGUGGGUUGAGGAGUGGCCAGCAGGAACCACUGCCUGAGGCUGGGCUCAGCCCAGGCCGGUAGACUCAUGUUCCGGAUGGGGAGCUCUCCACCUGCCCUCCUCCAGAGAGGAGCCCUUGUCCUUUCUGUCCACUUAUGCCCCGUGCAGGAAGCAGGUCAGAGUAGGCCGGGGCCCUCAGGAGCGGGCGCGUUUCAGCCUGGGGCGGGGGUAGGAUACCGGCCGCCGGGGCCAUUGAGGCAGCACCACAGGAGGGGUCCUGGCCAGGCCACUCCUCCCUCCAGGUGGGAGCUUAGCUGGGGCGGGACCCCCACCUCCCCGGGUGAGCACUGCCGGCCGGUAGCCUUGGGCAGGCACCCAGGAGAGGCCCCUGGCCUGAGCUCCUCUCACACCUGACUCUGGUACCUCUGAGCCCCAGGGUAGGUGGCUGAGUCAUCUCCCUAGCUGGCACCCCAAAUACCUUCUCCCCUUUUCCCAUCCCACGGGAGGUGGCUGUGUGCCACAGGUGAGGGUGCAGAGCCCCCAGCUGCUCCUUGCCCCAAGAGUUUCACCCCCUGGCAUGGGGCCCUGGGCAGGCCCUCUAGGGGCAGAGCCUUCCUUGCAGGCCGGCCCUGCCAGGCCCUCAGAGUGGGGGUGGCUGUGCCCCACCAGCCCCGAGGGGAAGACCAGGAUCCUGAGGGCUGGGGUGCACCUCCGACGUCCUGGGGGAGAUGUCCCUGCGUUGCCAACUCCAGGCCUGAACCCAAGGCGCCCUCAUCUGAGCAUAGGGAGAGGCUGCUGGGACGGCUGGGUGUCCGGCCGACUGCCCCGCCCGGGCUCUGGAGCUGAUAACCAGCGGAUGCGGAGUGAAAUGCAAACAGAUAAGAAAAGCUCCAGGUGUUGCAGCCAGACCCGAGUCUCUCAGGAAUCACAUCCAGGGCCCGUCCCAGGCAGUGGGACAUGCAGUGGGGGCAGCCACUGAGGCCCAGUUUUAGCAACUACAAACAAAACAGUUAGAACACGUGUGUCUGCGUCUCAGAGGAGCGUGUGCUGCCACUUCUCCCGGCGUGGACUGGCUGGGUCACGUGGUCGGCGUCUGAAUUUUUCAGAAACUGCCAAACCGUUUUCUGGCAUGGCUGUGCAUCGUGCCUCCCACCCAUGAUAGGCGAAGGGGACCCAGCGAGAAGGUGCCGUCCAUGAACCAAGGAGUGGCCUCACCAGACAUCGAAUCUGCCAGAGCGUCGAUCUUGAACGUCCCGUCCUCCGCAGCCGUGGGGAUGCGUGUCUGUUGCUUUUACGCCACUCAGGCCACGGCAUUUCCGGAUAGCAGCCGGGUUGGAGAGAGCCGCUGUCUGUCUGGGACCACUCUCUUCGUCGCCUGAUGUCCACCGUCUUGACAGCUGUUGUUCCCGUAUUUCCUGGAGUCUUUUGGUUGCUAAAUCCAGCCUCUGCUACUCCCUUUGCUAAAAAUGCUAGUCCUUGAUUAAAUGGAAUCUUGAUACUUUAA